rnacentral:rRNA from 1 species
AUUGAACGCUGGCGGCAGGCCUUACACAUGCAAGUCGAACGGUAACGCGGGGCAACCUGGCGACGAGUGGCGAACGGGUGAGUAAUGUAUCGGAACGUGCCCAGUUGUGGGGGAUAACUGCUCGAAAGAGCAGAUAAUACCGCAUACGACCUGAGGGUGAAAGCGGGGGAUCGCAAGACCUCGCGCAAUUGGAGCGGCGGAUAUCAGAGUAGGUAGUUGGUGGGGUAAAGGCCCACCAAGCCAACUAUCUGUAGCUGGUCUGAGAGGACGACCAGCCACACUGGGACUGAGACACGGCCCAGACUCCUACGGGAGGCAGCAGUGGGGAAUUUUGGACAAUGGACGCAAGUCUGAUCCAGCCAUGCCGCGUGUGGGAAGAAGGCCUUCGGGUUGUAAACCGCUUUUGUCAGGGAAGAAAAGGGCGACUCUAAUACAGUUGCCUCAUGACGGUACCUGAAGAAUAAGCACCGGCUAACUACGUGCCAGCAGCCGCAGUAA